rnacentral:rRNA from 1 species
ACGCUAUCACUCCUACGGGAGGCAGCAGUGAGAAUAUUGGACAAUGGCGGGAGCCUGAUCCAGCCAUGCCGCGUGCAGGAAGACUGCCCUAUGGGUUGUAAACUGCUUUUGUACAGGAAGAAACACUCCCUCGUGAGGGAGCUUGACGGUACUGUAAGAAUAAGGAUCGGCUAACUCCGUGCCAGCAGCCGCGGUAAUACGGAGGAUCCAAGCGUUAUCCGGAAUCAUUGGGUUUAAAGGGUCCGUAGGUGGAUGAUUAAGUCAGAGGUGAAAUCCUGCAGCUCAACUGUAGAAUUGCCUUUGAUACUGGUUGUCUUGAAUUAUUGUGAAGUAGUUAGAAUAUGUGGUGUAGCGGUGAAAUGCAUAGAUAUCACAUAGAAUACCGAUUGCGAAGGCAGAUUACUAACAAUACAUUGACACUGAUGGACGAAAGCGUGGGGAGCGAACAGGAUUAGAUACCCUGGUAG